rnacentral:rRNA from 27 species
ACGGGUGCGUAACGCGUGGGAAUCUGCCCCUUGGUUCGGAAUAACAGUUGGAAACGACUGCUAAUACCGGAUGAUGACGUAAGUCCAAAGAUUUAUCGCCGAGGGAUGAGCCCGCGUAGGAUUAGGUAGUUGGUGUGGUAAAGGCGCACCAAGCCGACGAUCCUUAGCUGGUCUGAGAGGAUGAUCAGCCACACUGGGACUGAGACACGGCCCAGACUCCUACGGGAGGCAGCAGUGGGGAAUAUUGGACAAUGGGCGAAAGCCUGAUCCAGCAAUGCCGCGUGAGUGAUGAAGGCCUUAGGGUUGUAAAGCUCUUUUACCCGGGAUGAUAAUGACAGUACCGGGAGAAUAAGCUCCGGCUAACUCCGUGCCAGCAGCCGCGGUAAUACGGAGGGAGCUAGCGUUAUUCGGAAUUACUGGGCGUAAAGCGCACGUAGGCGGCUUUGUAAGUAAGAGGUGAAAGCCCAGAGCUCAACUCUGGAAUUGCCUUUUAGACUGCAUCGCUUGAAUCAUGGAGAGGUCAGUGGAAUUCCGAGUGUAGAGGUGAAAUUCGUAGA